rnacentral:rRNA from 1 species
GAGUUUGAUCUUGGCUCAGGAUGAACGCUAGCGGCAGGCCUAACACAUGCAAGUCGAGCGGCAGCGCGGGGGCAACCCUGGCGGCGAGCGGCGGACGGGUGAGGAAUGCAUCGGAAUCUACCUCGUUGUGGGGGAUAACCUCGGGAAACCGGGACUAAUACCGCAUACGACCUACGGGUGAAAGUGGGGGACCGCAAGGCCUCACGCGAUGAGAUGAGCCGAUGCCGGAUUAGCUAGUUGGCGGGUAAGGCCACCAAGGCGACGAUCCGUAGCUGGUCUGAGAGGAUGAUCAGCCACACUGGAACUGAGACACGGUCCAGACUCCUACGGGA